GAUGAACGCUGGCGGCGUGCCUAAUACAUGCAAGUCGAGCGAACGGACGAGAAGCUUGCUUCUCUGAUGUUAGCGGCGGACGGGUGAGUAACACGUGGAUAACCUACCUAUAAGACUGGGAUAACUUCGGGAAACCGGAGCUAAUACCGGAUAAUAUUUUGAACCGCAUGGUUCAAUAGUGAAAGACGGUUUUGCUGUCACUUAUAGAUGGAUCCGCGCUGCAUUAGCUAGUUGGUAAGGUAACGGCUUACCAAGGCAACGAUGCAUAGCCGACCUGAGAGGGUGAUCGGCCACACUAGAACUGAGACACGGUCCAGACUCCUACGGGAGGCAGCAGUAGGGAAUCUUCCGCAAUGGGCGAAAGCCUGACGGAGCAACGCCGCGUGAGUGAUGAAGGUCUUCGGAUCGUAAAACUCUGUUAUUAGGGAAGAACAUAUGUGUAAGUAACUGUGCACAUCUUGACGGUACCUAAUCAGAAAGCCACGGCUAACUACGUG
rnacentral:rRNA from 1 species